GGGUCCGGACACACUGAGGAUUGACAGGCAAUUAUUGCUAACAGUGUCUUUUUUUUUUAAAAGUACUGUUGCAACAACAAAUAUGCUAGUCCUUUCAUGAUUAUGUGAUAGGUGGUGCAUGGCCGUUCUUAGUUCGUGGAGUGAUCUGUCUGCUUAAUUGCGUUUCAUUAUGGACCAUGUUAUAACAUGUACUAUCUCUUGAUUUUCAAAUUUUCAUUUAUUUGAGAUUUGUUAUAAAGAAGGAGUUUUGGUGCAAUUGGUCCUGAAAGCAACGAACGUGACCGCAUCCUCUUGUUGCCUUUUUAACUUGGCAUUUUUUUUAAUUUAUUUUAACAUUUUUGUCAUAACAUAAGAGGCUUUCAGAAAACUAGAGGGACCGCUGCGACUUUUUUAAACCAGAGGAAGGUUGCGGCAAUAACAGGUCUGUGAUGCCCUUAGAUGUUCCGGGCUGCACACGUGCUACAAUGAUUAUUGCAGUGAGCAUCUCAUUUUAUUUUUUGUGCUUGUCUUGUCUGCGAGUUUAUUCUCAACGACGACAGCCUUAGCCUGCUUCGAAAGUUCGCAGGU
rnacentral:rRNA from 1 species